GAUGAACGCUGGCGGCGUGCCUAAUACAUGCAAGUCGAGCGAACAGACGAGGAGCUUGCUUCUCUGACGUUAGCGGCGGACGGGUGAGUAACACGUGGAUAACCUACCUAUAAGACUGGGAUAACUUCGGGAAACCGGAGCUAAUACCGGAUAAUAUAUUGAACCGCAUGGUUCAAUAGUGAAAGACGGUUUUGCUGUCACUUAUAGAUGGAUCCGCGCCGCAUUAGCUAGUUGGUAAGGUAACGGCUUACCAAGGCAACGAUGCGUAGCCGACCUGAGAGGGUGAUCGGCCACACUGGAACUGAGACACGGUCCAGACUCCUACGGGAGGCAGCAGUAGGGAAUCUUCCGCAAUGGGCGAAAGCCUGACGGAGCAACGCCGUGUGAGUGAUGAAGGUCUUCGGAUCGUAAAACUCUGUUAUUAGGGAAGAACAAAUGUGUAAGUAACUAUGCACGUCUUGACGGUACCUAAUCAGAAAGCCACGGCUAACUACGU
rnacentral:rRNA from 1 species